GAAGCGGGGUGCACUGCAGCUUGAGCUCCUCCCUAAAGGGAGUGGAUGGAAGCCUCGAGCUGGGUUCACACCGGGGAGGGAACCGAGGAGCGUGGAAGAGCCCUUUUUAUGGGGUUCGGCUUGGUACCUCGCCCUGCCUGCGGGUCAAGGUGGUGUCAGGGACAAAAUUUGAGAGCUGAGAAUCCCUUGGGUCUACCCAUGGAUCUAGAAGGUGCAAUGUGCAUGGCAUUCGCCUGGAAUCCUGUCCCCUUCUCCCAAUUUUGGAAAAUAACCUGAGAUUACAAGGAGGUAUCACUAUUCAAAGUUAAUAAGAAGAUGGCGGGCGUUUGUUCCUUUGGCAUUUCCCCAAAGCAGCCACCUGACGAACUCAAGGAGCAGAAAGGGGAUGGACCCUGGUGAACCCAGGCACAUGCUCUUCCCUGGACAGAGGGUGCAAAGUGCCAAAGGAGGGAGCUCUGCUUGGACGACAUGGCUAGAUUCAGAUGCAUUUCAGCUCUUCGAAAAUUAAGUCAUUAUCGGAGAAAACACAGGGGUAGUAGAAUACCUCUUCACAAAACGAACUUACAAAAGAAAUAAUCGCAUGUACCACCGUGGAUGUGUGACCAGGUGGGCCAGGGCCACUACUCAGAGUCUCGUGCUAAGGAACCAGUCAGCAGUGGUCCUUGUGAUCCAAUUUUGAUUGUGUUAUCCUUAUUUAUAAACUCCAAAUUAUCAUCGAAGAAUGUACAGCUUUGUUUUU
rnacentral:lncRNA from 1 species